CUAUUUUGACGAUGACCUUUGCCAUUUUUGUCUAAUGAAGCUCCAUGAGCAACCAUAUUCCACAACAAUGCAGAGAAAGACUUGAGCUUUGUGCGUUUGGCAGUGUGGUUAUUGGUGGCAAGCAACUAUCCAGAUCCUUUGCCAUGACAUAAUUAUGUGGUUGAGAAUGAUAAUGGCGUCAGUGGUGGUUGAAGAAGGAGGAG
rnacentral:lncRNA from 1 species